GAUGAACGCUAGCUACAGGCUUAACACAUGCAAGUCGAGGGGCAGCACAGUGUAGCAAUACACGGGUGGCGACCGGCGCACGGGUGCGUAACACGUAUCCAAUCUGCCCGUUACUCGGGGAUAGCCUUCUGAAAGGAAGAUUAAUACCCGAUGGCAUUCAUUAGCGGCAUCGCCUAUGAAUUAAAGAUUUAUCGGUAACGGAUGAGGAUGCGUACGAUUAGCUGGUUGGCGGGGUAACGGCCCACCAAGGCUACGAUCGUUAGGGGUUCUGAGAGGAAGGUCCCCCACACGGGAGCUGAGACACGGUCCAGACUCCUACGGGAGGCAGCAGUGAGGAAUAUUGGUCAAUGGACGCAAGUCUGAUCCAGCCAUGCCGCGUGAAGGAUAAAGGUCCUCUGGAUUGUAAACUUCUUUUAUAAGGGACGAAAAAAGGUCUUUCUAGAUCGUCUGACGGUACCUUAUGAAUAAGCACCGGCUAACUCCGUGCCAGCAGCCGCGGUAACAC
rnacentral:rRNA from 1 species